rnacentral:lncRNA from 1 species
CUAAUCUUAAUUUUCUUACAUAAGGAGAGGUCAAAAUGAAGUUUAACAGUGCUGUGAUGGCAUGCUAGCGUUCAUGAAGGUAAAGCUGUUUGAUAAAAACCAUCAUUCAGAUAUUGGUCAUGUUUAAAAACAAAUAGCAAAAGCAUGUUCAAAAGAUCAAAUGCUCUGCUAGUCUAUAUUUCUAUAUGAUGUUGCUUCGAAUAGUGAGAACUACAUCAUCUCAAGCAGCAUCAUAAUUCAAAUAUAAAUACUUCCUAUCAAAUUGAAGCAAGCAACUUAGAGAUCCAAAUCAAUAAUCAAGACCUCUUCCCCAAGCAGUGAGCAGCAUGGAUUGUGGCCUCGCGGUAGCACAUCAGUUGAAUUGCAGAGAGAGAGAGAGAGAGAGAGAGAGAG